rnacentral:ncRNA from 1 species
UACCUGGUUGAUCCUGCCAGUAGUCAUAUGCUUGUCUCAAAGAUUAAGCCAUGCAUGUGUAAGUAUGAACUAAUUCAGACUGUGAAACUGCGAAUGGCUCAUUUAAAUCAGUUAUAGUUUGUUUGAUGGUACCUACUACUCGGAUAACC